rnacentral:rRNA from 1 species
UGAGCAAUCUGCCCUUCUCUUCGGAAUAAGCGUUGGAAACGACGUCUAAUGCCGAAUACGACCUCCUUUCGCAUGAUUGGAGGUGGAAAGCUCCGGCGGAGAAGGAUGAGCUCGCGGCCUAUCAGCUAGUUGGUGUGGGUAACGCCCACCAAGGCGACGACGGGUAGCUGGUCUGAGAGGAUGGCCAGCCACAGUUGGGACGUGAGAUACGGCCCAGACUCCGUAGGGA